GUGGAACCGGCAGCGCAUCGCUGCUCACCGGGCACCCGUCAGGCAAAAGCGCCAAGGAUAAAAAGGCAGAGACAUGGGAAAAUGGGACCAGCAUGUAAGAGAGCCCAGCGUGGCCGUGAGCAUGCAGCUGUAUUGCCCGCAAAGCCCUGCACCUGCAGAGGGCUGGAGCUGCCCUGCUCACUGCUGCCAGCCUGGCCCCAUGCUGGGGUGUCCCUGCGUGGCCGUGCCAUGUGGGAAGGGCACAGGAGCAGGGUGGGAAGGUGGCUGCUGUCCCCUACCUGCAAGCACUGAGUAGGUCAGAGCCAGUGCAGCCACCAUCACGUGCGGCAGCUCCUGGUUCAAACCCAGCAGGCACCCCUGGAGCGGGAGCACAGCACCUCGGGAAGGGGCUCAGCACGCUGGGAUGAGUUACCCCCCCAGCUGGCCUGUGCCAUCCACGUCUGGGUGUAAGUGACACCCCCACCCUGCCAGGACCAUGCCAGGUCCUUGACCUGGGAAGAAUUGCUCGGCCACGCCGGCCACCUGACUGCUGGGGCAUCCUGCUGAGGAGAGAGGCUUCGGCACAGCCCGGUGCCAGGGUGGAGGGGCUGCUUUGAUCAGCCUCUCAGGGGAGCACGUGAUCCCUGGGAGAGCGACGUGAUCCCCGGGGGGUUACGUGAUCUACCCACCCCAGGGCUUGAAGAGAUGGGAGCUUCUGGUUGAGGGUGCUGGAGGAUGUCCCCUCCCUGGGCUGUGGUCACUGCUGGGUCUGCACCGAGACC